rnacentral:lncRNA from 1 species
GCUUGGGCCUAUGGUGUUCCAGUAAAGCCAAUGAGGUUGUUACCCUCUGGUACCGAGCCCCAGAGCUGCUGCUUGGAACUACCACCCAGACUACCAGCAUUGACAUGUGGGCUGUCGGCUGCAUCCUGGCAGAGCUGCUGGCCCAUAAGCCCCUCCUCCCUGGCACUUCCGAGAUCCACCAGAUCGACUUGAUUGUACAGCUGUUGGGGACACCGAGUGAGAAUAUCUGGCCG